GUGCUAGCUUCUACAGCACAUAUAUGAAAAUGCAAUGAUACAGAGAAGGUUAGCAUAGCCCCUGCCCAAGGAUGACAUGAAAAGUUGUGAAUAGUCCACAUUUUUU